AUGAAGUUUCCAGUAAUAAUACCAAAUUUUAUUUAUAACUCUUUUUUCAAGUAUGUAUUAUCAAUGAUGGUGACAAACUAUUCUAGUCCAGCAGCAGAAAUGUCUUCAUACUUACCACAAGCCAUGAAAGAAAAGAAGAGUAACUCAGAAUUUACUCGUGAUAACGGAAAAAAAAAAUUGUACAUAAUCGGUUGA